rnacentral:lncRNA from 1 species
UCAACUCCCCCCCGUCGCCGGCCAAAUGGGCCACCGUCGACCCCGCCGUGAACGGUGGUCAGAAGCCCAAACGUCGGGUUUUUAAACCCUGCUUUAAGGACCAACUGAAGAACAAGUCUUCCUGGCCUCGGGGUCGCGAGAGAAAAAUCAAAUCGCCGCCUUCCCCGCCCAAUUUCGGUGACCCGAAGUAGGACUCCGGCGACGACGCUUGCGAGACGAUUCAGGUAAGGUUCUUUCUCCUUUUUUUAUUUCGUUUUUGUUGAGAUAAAUUCGUAUAUAAAAAAAACAAACAAAUAUAAAAACGAACAGAAUAAAAGAAUAAAAAGUCUGAAUCAACCUUUAAAUGUUUUCUCUGCCUUUUUUCAUUAACUAUUGUGUUGUGAAAAUGUUACAAAAGAAAAGGAAAAGACCCGAUUACAGUGAUGAUGCCUCCCCCCCUUUUACAAAGUUGAUAGUUUCAGCCUUUAUAGCCGAUUACAUCCAUUUUUUUUCCUACUGUUAUUGUACUUGUUGUUGCACGUGCUCUCCUUUGCAGGUGCCAGAGGAGUUGGUG